rnacentral:lncRNA from 1 species
GUGACGCACAGCGAGGGUGACUCAGGCCCGCUGGGGCGGAGGGGGCGGCGGCCGGACUUGCAGAGCCAGGAUGAGUCGGCAAAACCGCGAGCGCGUCCGCCCUCGGCGUCCGAGCUUCGGGGACGCCUGCCACGGAGGUGAGACCGUGGCGACUCCAGGAACGGUAGGGACGUGGCACUGACCGUGCAGGAGCAGUUCGGGACACUUUGCGGGUGGAUGAUUUAUUUACCCCGCCCCCCCCCACCAGCCCUGCAAGGUAGGGACGAUGAUCAUUCCCAUUCUGCAAAAGAGGAAACUGAGGCACAGAGAAGGUUACACGGUUUACCCUGGGUCACAGAGUAGAUAAGUGACGGAACCAGGGCUCAAAUCCUGUCGACCUGCCCUCUAGGCCGCUCUCCGUCCCACCCCUGGCUCCCUGUUCAGCACCAGUAAGUGCCCCAGGGAGCCAUUCUGGACAGAGCUGGCGCUGCCCAGAGCUCCACAGUGUCCCAUCCCAUCAUCCAACGCCACCUAGGAAGUGGGCAUGGCUUCGGAACACGGGUCCAAGGUAGAUCAGCUGAAAUGAGAGGUUAUCUGAGGGCAAAGGGGAGGCCACCUAGCAGGUCCCCAGCUCCAAGCAGGGACACGGAUGGCUUGGCUUUCUUCCUGUGGACACACACGUGCAUAAUACCCACCCCGGCAGCAGGGGAAACCAGAGAUGGCUGGGAGUGGGGUGAAGCUCAAGGGCCAGGGGCCUUUCGGUUAGAACACCUUCUAAACCCCAUCUGUGCAAUGAGGCGACGCUGCCCAUCCCUCAAAGCUGUGAGUGUGAGCAGAGAGAAUGCAGCUGGGUGUUUGAGCUGCCUGAGCUCCUUCCUGGUGCAUUAUGGGUCUCUCACCAAAUUUUGGAACCCUGAAGUCCUCAGGACUUUGACCUUGACCUCUCCCUUUCUGCAGUUCCCAAACAAUCCCUGUGAGCACUAAAUCAAACCCUGUCUCAGAAUCCUUAGCCCCAGGAUUAUGGAGAAUUGGAAGAUUUCAAUAAGAAGCUGUCCCUUCCCGAACUACUUCCUCAGUAUAGGAGGUAAAGAAGGCAGGAUCAUAGUUGCUGGAGUGGAAAAGUGGAGAUUUGACCCAAUUCUGUCACUGGGGGCCUCCUCAGUGAGGCCCUGAUCCUGGUAUCAAAUUCUGUUAUGUUGAGACACCCAGGGCCCAAUCCCAAUGGCUUAAAUAUUGUUUUCUCACAUAACAAAAGCUUGGAGGUGGCUGUAUCCAAACUUGAAAAGUGUCAUCAAAAAUCCAGGUUCUGUUCAUUUUUUGGUGCCAAUUUUCUUAGGUUUACCCCUCAUGGUCCCAAGGUGGCUGCUGUAGCUCCAAGUAUCAAUAACUAUAAAACAACAUUUAAAGACGGAAGUUAGGACAUUCCUUUAUGCCUCUUUUUAAAGAGUGAAUAAACCUAUCAUUUGUUGUUCCCCUUCCUGCCCCUUCAGGAUCAAGAAUUAUAUGUCCAUGUCCAAACCAAUCCCUGGCAAGGGGAGUGAAAUUACCAUGUUUGCCUUAGCUUGACCGGUGUUCACCUUUGGGCUCAAAAGGGUUUGCCCUUCCUGAAAUGCAUGACCCACGAUCUCAGAACAGAACUGAGGAGGCCUGGUAGCAGCAACCUAGUUCUCCUGUGGGCUCCUCCUUCCCUCUACUCUCAGGACCCUGUGGUUGCCAAGGCAACCCCAUUUUCUGGGGAGGGCGGGGCAGAGGACUUGACCUGCCCUGCCCAGUCAGCAUUUCCUUUAUGUUGGUCUGUGUGUCCCCAAGCCAAUGUGACUCGGACGUCAUCCUUUUGUUGGGAUGAAUUGGGCAUCUCACCUUCACAAGCCUAGAACCGGAAGCCGACAUCAUUGUCCCUUAGGUUGGAUGCUCUCAAAAGCAGACCCUGAGGUAAGGAUGUGUGUGGGUGGCUUAUUUGGGAGCUGUUCUGGUUUUUAUUGCUGCAAAAUAAAUCACUCCAAAAUCAGUGGCAUAAAACAGUCAUUUAUUAUCCCCAGAUUCUGUGGGUCAGUGACUCAGAUGGGAACCUGGGGGACUAGUGUUUCUUCUCUCCAGUGUCUGGGCCAUGGCAGGGAGGUGACUCAGCA